UACGUACGAGGCGAGCGUUAUCCGGAAUUACUGGGCGUAAAGCGCGCGCAGGUGGCUUGCUAAGUCGGACGUGAAAUCUCCCGGCCUAACUGGGAGGGGUCGUCCGAGACUGGCCGGCUUGAGGCUGGCAGAGGUAGGUGGAAUUCCUGGUGUAGUGGUGAAAUGCGUAGAGAUCAGGAGGAACACCGGUGGCGAAGGCGGCCUACUGGGCCAGCACUGACGCUGAGGCGCGAAAGCGUGGGGAGCGAACAGG
rnacentral:rRNA from 1 species